CUCUUUAAUAAUUUGUUAUUCUUAUCUCUUACUUUGUUUUCUAGGUAUUUUCUUAGCUGCAUUGUUGGUUAAGGGCUUGUAAGUAAGCAUUUCACUGUAAGGCCUACACAAGUUUUAUUCGGGCGUAUGUGACAAAUAACAUUUAAUUUAAUUUGAAGAAUAUGCAUAUCCUUGCUUCGGGUCCUGAACUACAGGUAGUUAGAUGUGUGUAUAUCAUUUUAGGCGAAACUUUGAAAAAAAGGGGCGGAUCCUUACGAGGUUUUAAUCUCAUUUCGAAAGUAAAACCAUUUUCCAACAUAUGACAAUAACGCCCUGAGUCGCUUCAUCUCAUUUCUAAAGUUAAAUGAUAUUCUUUCCAACAGGACCCAAGAGGCGGAGGACACACUCUUUUCCUUGCUCUAUCAGAUAAAAAAAAAAGAGCCAGAGGACCAAAAGAGGAAACAUGGGAAAGAAGUCUGCAUCUUUGUUCUGAUGAACCCUCGUAAACAGGAUGAAACCGCUCAGCAACUUCAUCACGUGUCUACCCUGCUUGAUUAACUGAUGAAUUAGCCUGUACAGUCAGAUCAUCUUUAAACAUGUCUGACAACAUAAAUCCACAAACAUUGUCAGAGGCAGAGACACAGUUGACAGUGGAGCAAGGUGACAAGCACAUUGGGCAGAGUAAUCUUCUUCAAUCACCUACGAAACAGACAUUCAAGUCAGCUGCAAAUGGCACCACUGCCGUUAUACCAGACUCAGGGGACAAGUUCUCCAGCUCCUCUCAUCAGUCCGUUUCAGAGAAAGGAACAAAGAUCGCUGGUCAAAAGGCUAAUACUAAAAAAACUAAAAGAAAGAAAAAUAUGGCAACCUUGGACAAGAAUGCUGAAGACCAGAUUGUGAACCAGAAUAGGCCACCCGACCUAAAAGACCAGGACUCUGCGCAAACUACUGCUGUUGUUAAGGAUGUCUGUUUUGGUUCUCAAAAGACCGAGACCAUAGGUUCCAGUGUCGACCCACCGGAAGUGGAGCCUAUGGAGAUUGAGCAGUCUGCCGAUGGGAAAGGAGAUGCCUCCUUUUCACCAACAGGUCCAGAUUUUAAGAUGGAACCAAAGGACAACACAAUAGUUGGAUCUGAGACAGAGAGCAAAGGUGCCAGUGUUGACCGACACGUGGAGCCUAUGGAGGUUGAGCAGUCUGCCCAUGGGAAAGAAGAUGCCUCCCUUUCACCAACUAGUCCAGAUUUUAAGAGGGAAAACACAAGUGAUGCCUCCCUUUCACCAACUAGUCCAGAUUUUAAGAGGGACAACACAAGUGAUGCCUCCCUUUCACCAACUAGUCCAGAUUUUAAGAGGGACAACACAAGUGAUGCCUCUGAAACUGCGGCUGGACCGACGCCAGAACGCACAGCCAUGGUUGGAUCAGAGCAGAGCAUGUGAGCGGAGUUGAGCGGUUGGAAAUCCCUUCUCAUCGCUCACGGAGCUCCGGCGCUCUGCCACAAACCGCUCAGUGCCUACAGGAUCACAGGGGGAAAAAACUGCAGCUCCAAAUUCGUUCCAUUCAUUUUCAUCGCAAUUUAACCAACACCCAUCUUUUUUUUUUUGUUACUACCUGGAUCUACCAAUUGGUUAAUAUUUAUUGAAGCCAAACCAUAUGGAUUUGAUUGAAAAGUAUUUGAAUAAUAAUGGAAAGGUGAAUGUAAGAAGCGAACAUAAUUUCAAAUAGGCUACAUGUCAUAUUAAACAGCAUAUACGGGGCAUUCAGAAAGUAUUCCGACCCUUUGAAUUCGUCCACAUUUUGUUACGUUACAGCCUUAUUCUAAAACGAAUAAAAUAAAAUAAAAAAUCCUCGUCAAUCUACACACCAUACCUCAUAAUCACAAAGCAAAAACAGGUUUUUAGAUUUGUUUUUACAAUACAUAAGUAUUCAGACCCUUUAACUCUGUACUUUGUUGAAACACCUUUGGCAGCGAUUACAGCCUUGAGUCUUCUUGGGUGUGACGCUGAAAGUUCGGUGUAACCGAUGUGAAAUGGCUAGCUAGUUAUCGGUGGUGCGCGCUAAUAGCGUUUCAAUCGGUGACGUCACUUGCUCUGAGACCUGAAGUAGUUGUUCCCCUUGCUCUGCAAGGGCCGCGGCUUUUGUGGCGCGAUGGGUAACGAUGCUUCGAGGGUGUCUGUUGUCGAUGUGUGCAGAGAGGGUCACUGGAUCAAGCCCAGGUAGGGGCGAGGAGAGGGACAGAAGCUAUACUGUUACAUUGGCACACCUCUUUAAGUUCUGUCAGGUUGGAUGGGGAGCGUCGCUGCAGAGAUGUUCGAGCGGGUUCAAGUCCGGGCUCUGGCUGGGCCACUCAAGGACAUUCAGAAACUUGUGCAUCCAUCCUCCCAGUCUCUGCUGCUGAAAAACACCCCCACAGCAUGAUGCUGCUGCCACCACCAUCUUUCACCGUAGGGAUGGUGACAGGUUUCCUCCAGACGUGACGCUUGGCAUUCAGGCCAAAGAGUUCAAUCUUUGUUUCAUCAGACCAGACAAUCUUGUUUCUCAUGGUCAGAGUACUUUAUUUCCAUUUGGCAAACUCCAAGCGGGCUGCCGUGCUUUUUACUGAGUGUCUUCCGUCUGGCCACUCUACCAUAAAGGCCUGAUUGGUGGAGUGCUGCAGAGAUGGUUGUCCUUCUGGAAGGUUCUCCCAUUCCCACAGAGGAACUCUGGAGCUCCGUCAGAGAGUCCAUCAGGUACUUGGUCAACAUAAAGGCUCAAUUUUGGCUCAAUAAAGGCUCAAUUUUGAGUCUCAUAGUAAAGGAUACUUAUGUAAAUAAGUAUAUAUCUGUUUUAUAUUUUUAAUACAUUUGCUAAAAUAAAUAAGCUGUUUUCACCUUGUCAUUAUGGGGUAUUGUGUGUAGAUUGAGGAAAAAUAUGAAUUUAAUCAAUUUUAGAGAAUGAGGUUGUAACGUCACGUGGAAAAGGGGGAGAGGGUCUGAAUACUUUCCGAAUGCACUCUAAAUAGGUCAGGACCCAGACAGGGAGCCUAAGAUGGAACCGAUAAUGAAUUAUUUAGGCUAUAUUAUUUCAAUUACUUCAAGGCUAUAGCCUACAAUGAAAUGCGUUGUGACAAAUUUGCUAGUGUGACACAAUAGGUUGGUAGGGACAUAAAGCGCUCAGCAUUUAAACAACAUUUCAUUGUAUUGAAUCAUUAUAGUUUAUAAAUUGUUGCGUUUAGGCUGUGACUUACUUAGAAUGACAUUUUUGUAUUUUAUUUUAAGAAACACGAGUUUUGUCAUCUGUGGUUUCAGGCUCAUGUGAUGGUGCCUGGAGAGCUGACCAGCUGAUCAUAUCCUCUCCACACGUGUAGAGCCAUCAGGCACGCUAGACUCCCUUUUGGCCACUCCUGCCAGGCUGGGCAGAGAUGCAGUAUUUAUAAAAGAAGAAAAUAAUAAUAAUAAUAAAAAAAUAUAUAUAUAUAUAUAUAUAUAUAUAUAUAUAUAUAGUUAGACCUAAAGGUUUUAAGGCAAAAUAACCCAAUCAAAACAAAAAGCUCCUUGAAUGUGGGAAUAUGCCAGACCUAUUAUUUUAGCAUGUGCACGUAGUAAGUACACCAUCAUGCUUUUGAGAUGCGUGUCUUUUCAGAUUCCACAAUGAUUCUUUAGUUGUGUACAUUACAUCACCACACUCCCUCCCUCUCUUGGUCCUCAUCUUUGUAAGUCACCUUGAUUCAGCACCUGUGUGUUUCAUCAGUUUCUUUAUGAAAAUGUUUAGUGAACUCCAUGACAGUAGCUAAAGCAAGGGGUUACAGCAGCACACCAAUAGACUACAAAUUCGUGGUGGGGCGAGCAUGCCACGAGCUCGUGAAAAUUGAGUGAAAUUCGAGCGGGUGAAAAGACCCGAUGCUCCAGCCUUUGAGAAUCUUCCUCCAGUCAAAUUGGCCACAGUCACUCCUCGCUCCGCUCCAAUGGGAGAAUGAGAAUUUAUUAGCUUGUUUUUUUUUUGCUCCUGCUUAGGGUAGGAUCCGUUUAAAGUUAACUUCUUACUUCAUCCUUCUAUCUGGCUUAGUAACUUACUAACCAGAGCCCUUCGAAGUUACUGCAAUAUAAGUUUCUGCUGGCAGAUAGCCACCUGACUGGCAUAUCUAUAAGCGACUAUUUAACGGUCGACUUUGGACACGAAAAACGGUCCAACUCCUCGUCUUUCUGAGCUUGUAAAGAGAAAUGGCGUGUGCUUUUUGGUGGUUCAUCUGUUUCAUUCCGGUCAUGCGUGCCCCGACCGUCGUAGCUAGUUCGUUAGCUAAUGGUGCUUUCAAUACAACUGGGAACAAAAACACAAAUGAGGUCAAAUCACAACGUCAGUGAUCUUCCGAUCGGAAAGUCAGAGCUCUUAGAAACAGGCCCCCUGUUCCCGAUUAGGAUUUCUGAGUUGGAUGAACGUUUAAAACAAAUUUUCUCAUUCGGAGCAAUUUAUUUCCCCAGAGUUCCAAGUUGUCUUGAACGCCCUGAAAUCGGACUUCGGAUAUUUCCCGGAUCUGAGGUCCACUUGAAUAAACUUUCAAAGUUCUUGAAAUGUUCUGGAUUGACUGACCUUCAUGUCUUAAAGUAAUAAUGGACUGUCGUUUCUCUUUGCUUAUUUGAGCUGUUUUUGCCAUAAUAUGGACUUUCUUUUACCAAGUAGGGAUAUCUUCUGUAUACCACCCCUACCUUGUCACAACACAACUUAUUCGCUCAAAUGCAUUAAGAUGGAAAGAAAUUCCACAAAUUAACUUUUAACAAGACACACCUGUUAACCUGUUAACCACGCCCAGCCCGUGAACGGGACCGUUAUCAUCAUCUGACACUAAUUAGCAUAACGCAACGGACAUAAAUCUUCCUGGAAAAUAUUCCUAUUCAUGAAAAUCACAAGUGAAAUAUAUUGGAACACAGCUUAGCCUUUUGUUAAUCACCCUGUCAUCUCAGAUUUUCAAAAUAUGCUUUACAGCCAACGCUAGACAAGCAUGUGUGUAAGUUUAUCAUAGCCUAGCAUAGCAUUAUGCCUUGCUAGCAGCAGGCAAACUUGUCACGGAAAUCAGAAAAGCAAUCAAAUUAAAUAGUUUACCUUUGAACUUCGAAUGUUUUCACUCACAAGACUCCCAGGUAGACAGCCAAAGUUAAUUUUUUCCCAAAAUAUUAUUUUUGUAGGCGAAAUAGCUCCGUUUGUUCUUCACGUUUGGCUGAGAAAUCGCCCGGAAAUUUCGGUCACCACGACGCCAAAAAAUAUUCCAAAUUAGCUCCAUAAUAUCGACAGUAACAUGGCAAACGUUGUAUUGAAUCCAUCCUUAAGGUGUUUUUCUAAUAUCUAUUCGAUAAUAUAUCAGUCGGGACAAUUUGUUUUUCACUCUGACCGAUUGGAGUAAUGGCUACCUCUGUAUUUUACGCGAGAAUCUCUCUCGGAGCCACCAUGUGACCACUUACGCAAUGUGGCUGCCUACGGCUAUUAUUCAACAGAAAUGCGUAAAACUACGUCACAAUGCUGUAGACACCUUGGGGAAAACGUAAGCUCGUUGAUGGUACAUUCACAGCCAUAUAGGGAGUCAUUGGAACGCAGAGCUUUCAAAACCUGGGGCACUUCCAGAUUGGAUUUUUCUCAGGCUUUCGCCUGCAACAUCAGUUCUGUUAUACUCACAGACAAUAUCUUUACAGUUUUGGAAACGUUAGUGUUUUCUAUCCAAAGCUGUCAAUUAUAUGCAUAUUCUAGCAUCUUUUCCUGACAAAAUAUCCCGUUUAAAACGGGAACGUUUUUUUUCCAAAAAUGAAAAUACUGCCCCCUAACACCAAGAGGUUAAUUGAAAUGCAUUCCAGGUGACUACCUCAUGAAGCUGGUUGAGAGAAUGCCAAGAGUGUGCAAAGCUGUCAUCAAGGCAAAUGGUGGCUACAUUGAAGAAUACUUUGAAAAUAUAUUUUGAUUUGUUUAACACUUUUUUGGUUACUACAUGAUUUCAUAUGUGUUAUUUCAUAGUUUUGGUGUAUUCACUACUUUUCUACAAUGUAGAAAAUAGUCAAAUUAAAGAAAAACCCUUGAAUGUCCAAACUUUUGACUGGUACAUUAUAUAUGACCUAUAAUUAAUUACAAUAUGAGUGAAGUAGUUUUCCUUACAAAAUAGAUAAUAAUUUAGUCUGUUAAAAAGCAUAUUUUCUGUGUUGGAAUGGUGUGGGCGUACCCCAACAACACAAGGGUGUGGGAGUAACCCGACAACACAAGGGUGUGGGCGUACCCCGACAACACAAGGGUGUGGGCGUACCCCGACAACACAAGGGUGUGGGCGUACCCCGACAACACAAGGGUGUGGGCGUACCCCGACAACACAAGGGUGUGGGCGUACCCCGACAACACAGGGGUGUGGGCGUACCACGACAACACAAG
rnacentral:lncRNA from 13 species